rnacentral:rRNA from 1 species
AUACGGAGGAUGCAAGCGUUAUCCGGAUUUAUUGGGUUUAAAGGGUGCGUAGGCGGUUUGCUAAGCGGGAGGUGAAAUGCCGGCGCUCAACGUCGGAAGUGCCUCCCGAACUGGUGGACUUGAAUGACUCUGCCGUGGGAGGAAUGUGUAGUGUAGCGGUGAAAUGCUUAGAGAUUACACAGAACACCGAUUGCGAAGGCAUCUCACGAAGGGUUGAUUGACGCUGAGGCACGAAAGCGUGGGGAUCAAACAGGAUUAGAUACCCUGGUAGUCCACACUGUAAACGAUGAUAACUCGCUGUCGGCGAUAUACAGUCGGUGGCCAAGCGAAAGCGAUAAGUUAUCCACCUGGGGAGUACGACCGCAAGGUUGAAACUCAAAUGAAUUGACGGG